UACGAAGGGGGCUAGCGUUGCUCGGAAUCACUGGGCGUAAAGGGUGCGUAGGCGGGUUUUUAAGUCAGAGGUGAAAUCCUGGAGCUCAACUCCAGAACUGCCUUUGAUACUGAGAAUCUUGAGUAUGGGAGAGGUGAGUGGAACUGCGAGUGUAGAGGUGAAAUUCGUAGAUAUUCGCAAGAACACCAGUGGCGAAGGCGGCUUACUGGUCCGGAUCUGACGCUGAGGCGCGAAAGCGUGGGGAGCAAACAGG
rnacentral:rRNA from 1 species